rnacentral:rRNA from 1 species
UGGGGAAUAUUGCGCAAUGGGGGAAACCCUGACGCAGCGAUGCCGCGUGAGUGAAGAAGGCCCUAGGGUUGUAAAACUCUUUCACCGGUGAAGAUAAUGACGGUAGCCGGAGAAGAAGCCCCGGCUAACUCCGUGCCAGCAGCCGCGGUAAUACGGAGGGGGCUAACGUUGUUCGGAAUUACUGGGCGUAAAGCGCGCGUAGGCGGGUUAGACAGUUGAGGGUGAAAUCCCGGAGCUUAACUCCGGAACUGCCUUCAAUACUACUAAUCUUGAGUUCGGAAGAGGUGAGUGGAAUUCCUAGUGUAGAGGUGAAAUUCGUAGAUAUUAGGAAGAACAUCAGUGGCGAAGGCGACUCACUGGUCCGAUACUGACGCUGAGGUGCGAAAGCGUGGGGAGCAAACAGG